UUAAGUUAGAAAGGGCGCACGGUGGAUGCCUUGACACUAGGAGUCGAUGAAGGACGGGACUAACGCCGAUAUGCUUCGGGGAGCUGUAAGUAAGCUUUGAUCCGAAGAUUUCCGAAUGGGGAAACUCACCAUACGUAAUGGUAUGGUAUCCUUAUCUGAAUACAUAGGGUAAGGAAGACAGACCCAGGGAACUGAAACAUCUAAGUACCUGGAGGAAGAGAAAGCAAAUGCGAUUUCCUGAGUAGCGGCGAGCGAAACGGAACAUAGCCCAAACCAAGAGGCUUGCCUCUUGGGGUUGUAGGACAUUCUAUACGGAGUUACAAAGGAACGAGGUAGACGAAGCGACCUGGAAAGGUCCGUCGUAGAGGGUAACAACCCCGUAGUCGAAACUUCGUUCUCUCUUGAAUGUAUCCUGAGUACGGCGGAACACGUGAAAUUCCGUCGGAAUCUGGGAGGGCCAUCUCCCAAGGCUAAAUACUCCCUAGUGAUCGAUAGUGAACCAGUACCGUGAGGGAAAGGUGAAAAGCACCCCGGAAGGGGAGUGAAAGAGAUCCUGAAACCGUGUGCCUACAAAUAGUCAGAGCCCGUUAACGGGUGAUGGCGUGCCUUUUGUAGAAUGAACUGGCGAGUUACGAUCCCGUGCGAGGUUAAGCUGAAGAGGCGGAGCCGCAGCGAAAGCGAGUCUGAAUAGGGCGUUUAGUACGUGGUCGUAGACCCGAAACCAGGUGAUCUACCCAUGUCCAGGGUGAAGUUCAGGUAACACUGAAUGGAGGCCCGAACCCACGCACGUUGAAAAGUGCGGGGAUGAGGUGUGGGUAGCGGAGGAAUUCCAAUCGAACCUGGAGAUAGCUGGUUCUCCCCGAAAUAGCUUUAGGGCUAGCCUUAAGUGUAAGAGUCUUGGAGGUAGAGCACUGAUUGGACUAGGGGUCCUCAUCGGAUUACCGAAUUCAGUCAAACUCCGAAUGCCAAUGACUUAUCCUUAGGAGUCAGACUGCGAGUGAUAAGAUCCGUAGUCAAAAGGGAAACAGCCCAGACCGCCAGCUAAGGUCCCAAAGUGUGUAUUAAGUGGAAAAGGAUGUGGAGUUGCUUAGACAACUAGGAUGUUGGCUUAGAAGCAGCCACCAUUUAAAGAGUGCGUAAUAGCUCACUAGUCGAGUGACUCUGCGCCGAAAAUGUACCGGGGCUAAAUACACCACCGAAGCUGCGGAUUGAUACCAAUGGUAUCAGUGGUAGGGGAGCGUUCUAAGGACAGUGAAGUCAGACCGGAAGGACUGGUGGAGUGCUUAGAAGUGAGAAUGCCGGUAUGAGUAGCGAAAGACGGGUGAGAAUCCCGUCCACCGAAUGCCUAAGGUUUCCUGAGGAAGGCUCGUCCGCUCAGGGUUAGUCAGGACCUAAGCCGAGGCCGACAGGCGUAGGCGAUGGACAACAGGUUGAUAUUCCUGUACCACCUCUUUAUCGUUUGAGCAAUGGAGGGACGCAGAAGGAUAGAAGAAGCGUGCGAUUGGUUGUGCACGUCCAAGCAGUUAGGCUGAUAAGUAGGCAAAUCCGCUUAUCGUGAAGGCUGAGCUGUGAUGGGGAAGCUCCUUAUGGAGCGAAGUCUUUGAUUCCCCGCUGCCAAGAAAAGCUUCUAGCGAGAUAAAAGGUGCCUGUACCGCAAACCGACACAGGUAGGCGAGGAGAGAAUCCUAAGGUGUGCGAGAGAACUCUGGUUAAGGAACUCGGCAAAAUGACCCCGUAACUUCGGGAGAAGGGGUGCUUUCUUAACGGAAAGCCGCAGUGAAUAGGCCCAAGCGACUGUUUAGCAAAAACACAGCUCUCUGCGAAGCCGUAAGGCGAAGUAUAGGGGGUGACACCUGCCCGGUGCUGGAAGGUUAAGGAGAGGGGUUAGCGUAAGCGAAGCUCUGAACUGAAGCCCCAGUAAACGGCGGCCGUAACUAUAACGGUCCUAAGGUAGCGAAAUUCCUUGUCGGGUAAGUUCCGACCCGCACGAAAGGUGUAACGAUUUGGGCACUGUCUCAACCAGAGACUCGGUGAAAUUAUAGUACCUGUGAAGAUGCAGGUUACCCGCGACAGGACGGAAAGACCCCGUGGAGCUUUACUGUAGCCUGAUAUUGAAUUUUGGUACAGUUUGUACAGGAUAGGCGGGAGCCUUUGAAACCGGAGCGCUAGCUUCGGUGGAGGCGCUGGUGGGAUACCGCCCUGACUGUAUUGAAAUUCUAACCUACGGGUCUUAUCGACCCGGGAGACAGUGUCAGGUGGGCAGUUUGACUGGGGCGGUCGCCUCCUAAAGUGUAACGGAGGCGCCCAAAGGUUCCCUCAGAAUGGUUGGAAAUCAUUCGUAGAGUGCAAAGGCAUAAGGGAGCUUGACUGCGAGACCUACAAGUCGAGCAGGGACGAAAGUCGGGCUUAGUGAUCCGGUGGUUCCGCAUGGAAGGGCCAUCGCUCAACGGAUAAAAGCUACCCCGGGGAUAACAGGCUUAUCUCCCCCAAGAGUCCACAUCGACGGGGAGGUUUGGCACCUCGAUGUCGGCUCAUCGCAUCCUGGGGCUGUAGUCGGUCCCAAGGGUUGGGCUGUUCGCCCAUUAAAGCGGUACGCGAGCUGGGUUCAGAACGUCGUGAGACAGUUCGGUCCCUAUCCGUCGUGGGCGUAGGAAAUUUGAGAGGAGCUGUCCUUAGUACGAGAGGACCGGGAUGGACGCACCGCUGGUGUACCAGUUGUUCUGCCAAGGGCAUAGCUGGGUAGCUAUGUGCGGAAGGGAUAAGUGCUGAAAGCAUCUAAGCAUGAAGCCCCCCUCAAGAUGAGAUUUCCCAUAGCGUAAGCUAGUAAGAUCCCUGAAAGAUGAUCAGGUUGAUAGGUUCGAGGUGGAAGCAUGGUGACAUGUGGAGCUGACGAAUACUAAUAGAUCGAGGACUUAACCAU
rnacentral:rRNA from 1 species